rnacentral:rRNA from 1 species
GGAAGUAAAAGUCGUAACAAGGUUUCCGUAGGUGAACCUGCGGAAGGAUCAUUACUGAUUUAGCGAACCGAGCGUUAGCGAGGUUUUGCGAUCAACUUGUAUUUAAAACCCACUCUUCAAUGUAUAAAAUUUGUGUUAAUGAUAAAUUAAAAGAUCACUUUCAACAACGGAUCUCAUGGCUCUCGCAUCGAUGAAGAACGUAGCGAAGUGCGAUAAGUAAUGUGAAUUGCAGUAUUCCGUGAAUCAUCGAACCUUUGAACGCAUAUUGCACUUUCUGGUAUUCCGGAAAGUAUGCCUGUUUGAGGGUCAGUUAAAUAAAAAUCGGUGUUGUUGCCGCUUUCCGUGGUGACGCGUCGGAAUUGAGUCGUCUUCGGUUAAGUGACUUAAAAUUUUAUAUGAUUUUCGAACGUAUUUAAAUUUAUUUGAACGUUUGAUAUCGAAUGCUUAUUAGGUUCGGUCAUCCUCAUGACUCGCGCCUAUAAUUUUUCAUUAAAUGACCUCAAAUCAGGUAAGAAUACCCGCUGAACUUAAGCAUAUCAAUAAGCGGAGGA